rnacentral:rRNA from 1 species
GACGAACGCUGGCGGCGUGCUUAACACAUGCAAGUCGAACGGAAAGGCCCUGCUUUUGUGGGGUGCUCGAGUGGCGAACGGGUGAGUGACACGUGAGUAACCUGCCCUUGACUUUGGGAUAACUUCAGGAAACUGGGGCUAAUACCGGAUAGGAGCUCCUGCUGCAUGGUGGGGGUUGGAAAGUUUCGGCGGUUGGGGAUGGACUCGCGGCUUAUCAGCUUGUUGGUGGGGUAGUGGCUUACCAAGGCUUUGACGGGUAGCCGGCCUGAGAGGGUGACCGGCCACAUUGGGACUGAGAUACGGCCCAGACUCCUACGGGAGGCAGCAGUGGGGAAUAUUGCACAAUGGGCGGAAGCCUGAUGCGGCAACGCCGCGUGCGGGAUGACGGCCUUCGGGUUGUAAACCGCUUUCGCCUGUGACGAAGCGUGAGUGACGGUAAUGGGUAAAGAAGCACCGGCUAACUACGUG